GUUAGUCGUGCUAAAAGAAGAGGCUGAAAUAGAAGUUUGUUUAGUAGCUUUAAGAUUUUAGAAGCUACUCGUAUCUACUUUAAAAGCAGCUCGUACUUCUUCGGCUAUAAUUGACUGUGAAACUUACUUCAGUGACUUCUGGAAUCGGGAAAGAUGCCAAUCUAUCCCUUUUUCAGCGAUGGACUACGACGAGACUGUAUGGACGCGCCCUCCAGUAUCCUGCUGAAGUACGCGACCCUGGGACUGAGGGCGGCGCGCCGGCCCCCCGCCGGGCCCAGGCCCCCCGCCGGGUCCAGGCCCCCUGCCGGGUCCAGGCCCCCCGCCGGGACCAGGCCCCCCGACGAUCCCAGGCCCCCCACCGAACCCAAGCCCUACAGGUUCAUUUACAAGAUGUCCCCUCACGGAAGCCAUCCCGCCGUGAAGGUGGAGGUAAAGGAAGAAGAGCAGGAGAAGCCUUCGCCGGACUUCACACCCUGCCCCUGCCGCUCGCAGCUGCGGAUCAAAGGAGAAGGCGUGGCCCCCGAUGCGGUCGUAGUGCAUAAUGCCGGCGACCAGAGCGCCCACCUGAGUGAUGUUUUUGAGGUGAUCUCGCAGGCGGACCCGUCGUUCGGCGCGGGCGCAGCGGGCGACGCGCACGGCAUGAUGGCGCAGGCCCCGGCGCCCUACGCGUACAUCAUCGAGCAACCCGCGCCCAAGUCGCUCAGGUUUCGCUACGAGUGCGAAGGGCGGUCAGCGGGUUCGAUUCCCGGCGUGAACAGCACGCAAGAGAACAAGACGUUCCCCACGAUCAAGGUCUGCGGCUACAAGGGCUGCAUGGUCAUCGUGGUGUCAUGUGUCACCAAGGAGGAGCCCUACAAGCCGCACCCCCACAACCUGGUGGGGCGCGACUGCCAAAUGGGCGUGUGCACGGUGAAGGUGCGCACCGAGGGCGACGCCGACGCCUGCCAGGUGCAGUUCAAGAACCUCGGCAUCCAGUGCGUCAAGCGCCGCGACAUCGCCGACGCGCUGCGCACGCGCCAGGAACUGCGCGUCAACCCCUUCAAGACGGGCUACGCGCACCGAAGCCAGCCGCAGAGCAUCGACCUGAACGCGGUGCGGCUGUGCUUCCAGGUGUUCCUCACCGACGACGCCUACAAGGUGCAGCGUGCGCUGCCGCCCGUCGUCUCUGACGUCAUCUACGACAAGAAGGCCAUGUCUGACCUGCUUAUAGUGCGCUCCAGCCAUUGCUCUGGAAGCGUCAAGGGCGGGACCACCGUCAUCCUGCUGUGCGAGAAGGUGACGCGUGAGGACACAGAAGUGUGGUUCUUCUUAGAAGAGAACGGCGCAGUGGUGUGGUCAGAGCGUGGACAUAUCGACUACGUGCACAAGCAGCUCGCUAUAGUACUCAAGACGCCGCCUUACCGCGACCAACGUCUGGACCACCACGUUACUGUCCAGUUCCAGCUGCAGCGGCUGUCGGACGGCGCCAAGAGCAACGCCUACAGCUUCGAGUACAUCCCCAACGUGCAAGAUAAAGAGAUAAUACUAGGCCAUAAGCGACGGAAGAAACUGUCGUACAAUUUACAGGAAUACGAUGAGAGGUCCAUGGAGAUGGCGAUCAAGGCCGAACCGCACGACCGCACGCCGCCGCAUCCCAUGGCCGCUGCCUACGCUGACCAGCCACAAUGGCGCGCGGAGAUGGUGGGCGGCGCCCAACUAGGCCACGCCUACGCGCCGCAAGUAAGCUGGCAGAGCCCGCCCUACGCGCCGCCCUCGCCGCAUCUGCAGCCUUCGCCCAUGCAUCAGCAACCCUCGCCCAUGCAUCAGCAGCCCUCGCCGAUGCAUCAGCAACCAUCGCCGAUGCAUCAGCAACCCUCGCCGAUGCAUCAGCAACCCUCGCCCAUGCAUCAACAACCCUCGCCGAUGCAUCAACAACCCUCGCCUAUGCAUCAGCAACCCUCACCCAUGCAUGUACAGCAGGUGGUGUCGCCGGGGCUGCACCCGACGUCGCCCUACGCUGUGCACUUGCUCGGCGCACAGCAGAUGCAGCAUCAGCAGCAGAUGCAUAUGCAAUCGCUGCAGGUGGGCGCGGCGUCGCCCAUGGGCGCCUCGCCCGCUGCUUCUCCCGCGCUCAUGCAGCCAGGAGCCAUGAGCAUGCCGAUGGGGCUGCAGCCUACUAUGGACCCCGUCAUGGCUGACUUGGGCGCGCCCACAUACACGCAGAUGGACAGCACGGUGAACAGCACGCCGUCGCUGACGUCGCUGCUGCAGCAGGCCGGUGACGAUGACGUCAGCUACACCUCCGGCGACCUCGCGCACCUGUCCAGCCUGCUGGCCGACCGCCACGACCUGUCCGACUCCCUCACGCGUCUGUCCACGCGCGACCUGCUGCAGCCCUAGCGUGAGUACACAGCACCUGCUGCAGCCCUAGCGUGAGUACACAGCACCUGCUGCAGCCCUAGCGUGAGUACACAGCACCUGCUGCAGCCCUAGCGUGAGUACACAGCACCUGCUGCAGCCCUAGCGUGAGUACACAGCACCUGCUGCAGCCCUAGCGUGAGUACACAGCACCCGCUGCAGCCCUAGCGUGAGUACACAGCACCUGCUGCAGCCCUAGCGUGAGUACACAGCACCUGCUGCAGCCCUAGCGUGAGUACACAGCACCUGCUGCAGCCCUAGCGCCGUUCAGCCGAUCCAGAUUAUCUGUUGUGAAGAGUCAUCUCGUUCCUUCCCAAAUGCGGUAAAUACCACAUCGGAGGCAAACUAUUCCAGCUUCGAAGAAAGGAGACUAGAGAUGUUUAUUUGAUAAUGUUCAUCGAUAUCGAUGUUGGGAUUAGUUAGGCGAGUUUAUCACUUACUGCAUUUAAGACUAAAACCAGAAAACUAAAAAAAAAGAGACAUUUCGCUAAUUGUUCGUUCGGAUUCUAAAACCA